CAGUUCGGACUGUAGGCUGCAACUCGCCUACACAAGUUGGAAUUGCUAGUAAUCGUGGAUCAGCAUGCCACGGUGAAUACGUUCCCAGGUCUUGUACACACCGCCCGUCACACCAUGGGAGCUGGUAACACCCGAAGUCAGUAGUCUAACCGCAAGGAGGACGCUGCCGAAGGUGGGAUUAGCGACUGGGGUGAAGUCGUAACAAGGUAGC
rnacentral:rRNA from 1 species